AAGUGGGUCAGGCUGCUCUGCACCCCGGGCUCCAGGCAGGGCGUGGGGCGACUGGCACCCAACGGCGACCUGUCCUGCGACAUCAGGUCCACGAACUCCUUGCAGAUCUCCCUGAAGACGUGGAGUGAGGGGUGAGACAUGCUGCGUCGCGUGGGCAGCUGAUCCGGGUCGGACUGUCGGCACAGAUACUCCGCUGUGGCCCGGGCCGGAAACUCGGUCUCACAGACGUACCCGAAGUCCCGCGCGAGGUGAACCGCCUCACCUGAGAAGAGAGCGUGAAGAUUGAAAAAUGGAACUUGAACAUGCUGACUGAGAGCUGGAGUACCUUCCACCAGCGCUGUGAGGAGUGUGACGUUGGCGGCCUUUCUCCGGCCGGCCGGCAGGUUGAGGCCGAUCUUCUCCAGGCGUUCUCGCAGACAGCGGCCUCCGUUUUUUGACUUGGCUCUGAGGGAG